rnacentral:rRNA from 1 species
AGAGUUUGAUCCUGGCUCAGGACGAACGCUGGCGGCGUGCUUAACACAUGCAAGUCGAACGGAAAGGCCCUUCGGGGUGCUCGAGUGGCGAACGGGUGAGUAACACGUGGGUGAUCUGCCCUGCACUCUGGGAUAAGCCUGGGAAACUGGGUCUAAUACCGGAUAGGACCGCAUGCUUCAUGGUGUGUGGUGCAAAGCUUUUGCGGUGUGGGAUGAGCCCGCGGCCUAUCAGCUUGUUGGUGGGGUAAUGGCCUACCAAGGCGACGACGGGUAGCCGGCCUGAGAGGGUGACCGGCCACACUGGGACUGAGAUACGGCCCAGACUCCUACGGGAGGCAGCAGUGGGGAAUAUUGCACAAUGGGCGCAAGCCUGAUGCAGCGACGCCGCGUGAGGGAUGACGGCCUUCGGGUUGUAAACCUCUUUCAGUAGGGACGAAGCGAAAGUGACGGUACCUACAGAAGAAGGACCGGCCAACUACGUGCCAGCAGCCGCGGUAAUACGUAGGGUCCGAGCGUUGUCCGGAAUUACUGGGCGUAAAGAGCUCGUAGGUGGUUUGUCGCGUUGUUCGUGAAAACUCACAGCUUAACUGUGGGCGUGCGGGCGAUACGGGCAGACUAGAGUACUGCAGGGGAGACUGGAAUUCCUGGUGUAGCGGUGGAAUGCGCAGAUAUCAGGAGGAACACCGGUGGCGAAGGCGGGUCUCUGGGCAGUAACUGACGCUGAGGAGCGAAAGCGUGGGUAGCGAACAGGAUUAGAUACCCCGGUAGUCCAA